rnacentral:lncRNA from 1 species
GUUUGGUUUGCCAUCACUUUUUGUGACUUUUCUGACAUCUGCAAGUGUCGGAAGUGUGACCUGAAACAUUUAAGGACACUUCUGCCUGAACCAUGGGCAGAUGUUUAGACUCCAAGAUACAGAGGAGGAGGGUCUUGGAGGUUUCUUAGUAUAAGUUCCUCCCUGUGGUACUUGCAGUUCCUACAAGGGGCUGUCAGAGAAACAAGCCGGAGAAGAGCAAGACAUGGUCCUGGUGCAUGAAAGGAGCCUAAGAAAGAAGAGUGAAAGCUGCACGUGUUCUACCUCCAGAAAGCCAUAAAAGAGAAAAGAAUGUUGUACCAAACUAAGCAAAUGAAGCAUGAAAUGAAAAGCCGGUUGAGCUGGGAGGUAUAAAGAAUGGAAAGGAAGCAGCUACCACCCCUGGUAACCCCAUCAAUCCGGAGAAGCUUCGCAGAGUUACACUGUGCUCUGUCGGGAAGGAAAUGAAUUUUCCUCAUUGUACACAUUCCGAGAAAAAUGAGGCUAAGACUAUUUCAAAGGAUGUUCUACCUAAUUCGAAUGGGCUUUAAGUGCCAUCUUCACAAUAGCGCCAGAGUCUGGUGUCAGCAAACUGAACAAAUAGAGCUACAGGGAGCGAAUGGGGCUGGGUGCCUCUCCAAAACAUAUGCAGAUGAACUUGAGAUUUCAGAGGACGGUUAAUCCUACACAGCAGUCAAGUGCCUUCCCAGGGAGCAUCCUGGCAGGCAUCCACUGUGCCAUAUGCUUUCGGGAAGUCUGGAUGCUGAAUGUGGUGGCUGUGGGGAAUUGAGCCUUAUUGCUUCAUAAGAUUCCUGGUGGUAGAACUAUUCUGAACAAGAACACGUCCGUCCCCAUAGGUGUGCUCCAAGAAUCACAGAAUAAGAAGGGACUUCGGAGAGAGCCUCACACAGUUGGGCAAUGGGAGCCCAGAGAGGCAAGGAAGGCUCCUUGCCCAAAGUCUUGUACAUCUGAAUCUGCAACUCCUGACUAUUUUUGAGUCUUAUGCUCCAGGCUAAAACUUGUGACUUUAAGUGUGAUGUUCUCGGUGAUGAUUAAUCUAGGAUGUUUCUGUUGUUUUCUUACCGUCAAAGAAUUAACAUCAAAAGGAAAGGAAGGAAGAAAUGUAGAAGUGAAGGCAAGAAGGAAGGAAGGAGGAAAGGAAGGAAGGAAAAUAUAGGCUUUGGGUAAAAAUAAGUUUCUACUCAACACUGACAAAGGUACAGGUUUUGGACAUUGGUUUCCUAAUCUGUAAAUGAGGAAUAGUCAUCACAUCGCUGUCCUGGCUGGUUUUGUGUGUCAACUUGACACAAGCUGGAGUUAUCACAGAGAAAGGAAAGAAAAUGCCUCCAUGAGAUCUAGCUGUAAAUGGAUUAGUGAUCAAGAGUGGGAGGGCCCAGUGUGGGUGGUGCCAUCCCUGGACUGGUGGUCCUGGGUUCUACAAGAAAACAAGCUGAGCAAGCCAGGGGAAGCAAGCCAGGGGAACAUCCCUCCACGGCUCUGCAUCAGCUCCUGCUUCCUGCCCUGUGUGAGUUCCAGUCCUGACUUCCUUUGGUGACGAACAGCAAUGUGAUAGUAUAAGCUGAAUAAACCCUUUCCUCCCCAAC